rnacentral:rRNA from 1 species
UACGUAGGGGGCAAGCGUUGUCCGGAUUCAUUGGGCGUAAAGAGCGUGUAGGCGGCCAGGUAGGUCGGUUGUGAAAACUGGAGGCUCAACCUUCAGAGGUCGACCGAAACCAUCUGGCUAGAGUCCGGGAGAGGAGAAUGGAACUCCUGGUGUAGCGGUGGAAUGCGCAGAUAUCAGGAAGAACACCGAUGGCGAAGGCAGUUCUCUGGGCCGUAACUGACGCUGAGGAGCGAAAGCGUGGGGAGCGAACAGG